rnacentral:ncRNA from 1 species
CAGGAGGAAUCCGAAAAUCCAAUAAAAGAGUAGAAA